rnacentral:rRNA from 1 species
CCGCGAUAGGCCAAGGCUUCUGGAAUGAACCAUGGCCGAAACCUAUACGGCCCCUGGAUUGGACUGCGGCCGAUCAGGCUGUUGGUGAGGUAAUGGCCCACCAAACCUGUAACCGGUACGGGCUUUGAGAGAAGGAGCCCGGAGAUGGGCACUGAGACAAGGGCCCAGGCCCUAUGGGACGCAGCAGGCGCGAAACCUCUGCAAUAGGCGAAAGCUUGACAGGGUUACUCUGAGUGAUGUCCGUUAAGGGCAUCUUUUGGCACCUCUAAAAAUGGUGCAGAAUAAGGGGUGGGCAAGUCUGGUGUCAGCCGCCGCGGUAAUACCAGCACCCCGAGUGGUCGGGACGAUNAUUGGGCCUAAAGCAUCCGUAGCUUGUUCUGCAAGUCCUCCGUUAAAUCCACCUGCUCAACAGAUGGGCUGCGGAGGAUACUACAGGGCUAGGAGGCGGGAGAGGCAAGCGGUACUCAGUGGGUAGGGGUAAAAUCCUCUGAUCCACUGAAGACCACCAGUGGCGAAGGCGGCUUGCCAGAACGCGCUCGACGGUGAGGGAUGAAAGCUGGGGGAGCAAACCGGAUUAGAUACCCGGGUAGUCCCAGCUGUAAACGAUGCAGAUCGUUGAAUGGGUUUGGCUUUGCGCCAACCCAGUGCCGCAGGGAAGCCGUUAAGUCUGCCGCCUGGGGAGUACGGUCGCAAGACUGAAACUUAAAGGAAUUGGCGGGGGAGCACCACAAGGGGUGAAGCCUGCGGUUCAAUUGGAUC